rnacentral:tRNA from 1 species
GCCAGGGUAGCUCAGCCGGUUAGAGCGUGGGACUCAUAAGCCCGAGGUCGUGGGUUCGAUCCCCACCCCUGGUA